CUAUUUAUUAUGAUCAACGAAUACCUGUCGCUGGAAAUUUCCUGGAAGUCCAGAGGAAAACCGUCCGUCCCCCAUGAGUAAAGCACUAGAAUCCAAAAAGUUCAUGACGAAAUAUCGUCAUCCAUCCCCCUUUGUCUCAGAUCAAAGAUCAAAGCAGCACCCCGCAUUCCGCUCUGCAUAUUCUUUUUCUCUUCCACGAUCUCUGUAUCACGAUCUCUGGCCUCUCGUUUGGUCCUGCCUGCAUUGCAUUUGAAAUUCGGUUGAGUCUCGCCGGAAGCCAAGUAACAUAAUAGAAGGAAUCUGCUGGAGAUGGGUGUCAUCAAGGAAUUUCGGAUCGUCAUGCCCUUGUCGCUGGAAGAGUAUGGGAUAGCACAGAUGUACAUGGUCACGAAGAUGCAGCAAAAGAACACCACUGGUACUGAACGGGUUGAACUAUUAGAAAGCAGACCCUUUGAAGACGAUGUGUACGGAAAAGGUCGAUACACUUCUAAAGUUUAUCGUCUGCAAAGCAAAGUUCCUGCUUGGCUUAGAAAAUUUGCACCACCACAUGCUCUUGAUAUGCAAGAGGAAGCCUGGAGCGCAUACCCGAGAUGUAAAUCAGGUUUGCCAUGUCCUCUAGACAUCCCUCCUUGUGUGUUUCUUGUACUUGUAUUAAUGUCUUUUUGGUUUUUUAUCUGCAAAUGGAUGCCUCAUUACCCAGUACUCAAGGUAAAAAUUCUCUCUUUCCAAUCAAAGUUCACUUCCACAAACAUUCUGGGGAAAAUGUUUUACUUCACAGCACUCCAGGUACAUGGUUUAAGCAAGGAACAACUGGCAGCCAGGCAAGUGGAAUAUAUUGAUAUAGCUAUCCCUGGAAAGGAUUGUUGGAGUUACUUAGUUGGGAAUUGUAGUAUAGACUUUUCCAAAUUCAAAUCAGCAAGAAUUGACCGUGGUCCACUUCCAAAGGGGUGGCAGGUUAGAGUUUUCUGUAAUUGUAAUAUAUGUGUUUUAUUUGUCUCAUGGAACUUUGGCUCGCAUUCCUUUUCUUCUCUUUUUUGGCAGAAUACACAGAUUGCUUAUGUCAUUUAACAUCAGGGCUCAAAUUGUUGUGUAAAAAAGGAACCCUUUUCAGUGCUCUUUACUCAUCUUUCAACAUCACACAAUUACAUUUGCUUUUCUUCUGUGUCACUUUUUUUCUUCUCCUAAUCUAAUAAGGAUAGGCGUGAUCCAGUCAUGACUGCGUACAAAUUGGUGACAAUUGAUGCACCAUACUGGGGAUUUGGUCGUCGGCUUGAACAGGCCCUGCUAGCAGGUGAAAGGGCUCUUUUUUUGGAAAGUCAUCGUCAUUGCUUUGGUUGGAUUGAUGAAUGGUAUGGGAUGACAGUGCAACAAAUAGAUGAACUCUUGCAAC